UACGUAGGGGGCAAGCGUUGUCCGGAUUUACUGGGUGUAAAGGGAGCGUAGACGGCCAUUCAAGCCAGAUGUGAAAGCCCGGGGCUCAACCCCGGGACUGCAUUUGGAACUGUAUGGCUGGAGUGUCGGAGAGGCAGGCGGAAUUCCUAGUGUAGCGGUGAAAUGCGUAGAUAUAUGGAGGAACACCGGUGGCGAAAGCGGCUCUCUGGCCUGUAACUGACACUGAGGCUCGAAAGCGUGGGGAGCAAACAGG
rnacentral:rRNA from 1 species